ensembl:snRNA U1 U1 spliceosomal RNA
AUACUUGUCUGGCAAGAGGAGAUGCUAUAAUCAUGAAGAUGGUUUUUCCCAGGGGCGAGGCUUGUCCACUGAAUUCUAGAUGUGAUGACACCAGCAAUCUCCCCAAAUGCGGGGGACUCAGCUGCACAAUUCAUGGGUGGGCUGCAUUCAUACUCUCCUUCA